GUAGGGAAUAUUGCGCAAUGGACGAAAGUCUGACGCAGCGACGCCGCGUGAGUGAUGAAGGCCUUAGGGUCGUAAAGCUCUGUUGAAUGGGAAGAAAAAAAUGACGGUACCAUUCGAGGAAGGACCGGCUAACUUCGUGCCAGCAGCCGCGGUAAUACGAGGGGUCCUAGCGUUGUUCGGAAUCAUUGGGCGUAAAGGGUGUGUAGGUGGCCAUGUAAGUCAGGUGUGAAAGCCCCGGGCUCAACCCGGGAAGUGCACUUGAUACUGCGUGGCUUGAGUACCGAAGAGGGUAGUGGAAGUCCAGGUGUAGUGGUGAAAUACGUAGAUAUCUGGAGGAACACCGGUGGCGAAGGCGGCUACCUGGUCGAGUACUGACACUGAGACACGAAAGCAUGGGGAUCAAACAGGAUUAGAUACCCCUGUAGUCC
rnacentral:rRNA from 1 species